rnacentral:lncRNA from 1 species
UUUCAGUCCAUUUAACUCUUUCAUACAUGAAUUAUCAGGAACAUUGGUCCAGAUCUUUUUCCUUAUUUGUCUUUGGAAAAAACCCAAUGCAGAUGAAUUGUUUCUGAACCUGUUUUUUCUUGUAGUUCCAUAAACGUCCACCAGUCUGAACACAUCAGUUUAAAUAUGGAUUCAACAAACCAACGUCAGAACAUGAAGAAAACUAUGAAAUAAGAGUCAGGGAGGUGUUUCUUGAUGUAGAAGGAGUUCCCUGAUAUUCAUGGGAGGGUCAGUGUUUAGGACUUCCUGUCGGCCAUCUUGGUUAGGAGUAAAAAAAUAAAUCUGCACUUCCCCACCUGUCCACCAGGUGUCAGUGUCUGUGCUGAUGUGUCCACUGUGUCAGCUGAUAUGAAAUAAACCCAUGAAUAAACAGGAGAAGAUCUGGAGAACAUCUGGAGAACAGAGGAACCCUGGACAUUAAAGGGUUCCCCAGACCUUCUCAGUUCCUUCUUGUUUUGCUGUUUGUGACUUUGGUUUCCUGUCGACUCAUGUGACUCUGGUUCUGGUUCUGGUGUGGGUCUGGACGUCCUCAGUCGGUCUUUGUGUCUGAUAGGUGUGUCCCCGAGCCGGUCCCGGUCCGGGUGUCCCUUUGAGGACAUCUGGGUCCUCAGGGACUCGUGUCAUGCAGGAGAUCGGAACAGCGUGGGCAGCACCGGCAGCGUGGGGAGCACCCGGAGCGCCGGCAGCGGCCAGAGCACGGAGAGCAACAGCGCCCCCAACGGACUGCAGCACAGCGCCGGUCACCAUGACAACGGCAGCAAGACGACGCCCUCUGCUGGAGACUCUGGACACAACGACCUCAGCUCACAGCCUGAUCAUCCACCAGGUCACUUCCCGUUUACUGUUUACUGAACACACGUUAACGCCACAUUUAGCUCAAUAUUCGUCUGUUUAACCUUUAACGCUUUUA